rnacentral:piRNA from 1 species
UGCUAUGUUUCUCUCACUCCGACAUGCUAC